AACGCGAAGAACCUUACCAGCCCUUGACAUGUCCGGUGUGGAGAUCAGAGAUGAACUCCUUCAGUUCGGCUGGCCGGAACACAGGUGCUGCAUGGCUGUCGUCAGCUCGUGUCGUGAGAUGUUGGGUUAAGUCCCGCAACGAGCGCAACCCUCGCCCUUAGUUGCCAUCAUUUAGUUGGGCUCUCUAAGGGGACUGCCGGUGAUAAGCCGCGAGGAAGGUGGGGAUGACGUCAAGUCCUCAUGGCCCUUACGGGCUGGGCUACACACGUGCUACAAUGGCGGUGACAAUGGGACGCAAUGGGGCAACCCUGCGCAAAUCUCAAAAAGCCGUCUCAGUUCGGAUUGUGCUCUGCAACUCGAGCACAUGAAGUUGGAAUCGCUAGUAAUCGCAGAUCAGCACGCUGCGGUGAAUACGUUCCCGGGCCUUGUACACACCGCUGUA
rnacentral:rRNA from 1 species